CCUACGGGGUGCUGCAGUCGAGAAUCAUUCACAAUGGGGGAAACCCUGAUGGUGCGACGCCGCGUGGGGGAAUGAAGGUCUUCGGAUUGUAAACCCCUGUCAUGUGGGAGCAAAUUAAAAAGAUAGUACCACAAGAGGAAGAGACGGCUAACUCUGUGCCAGCAGCCGCGGUAAUACAGAGGUCUCAAGCGUUGUUCGGAAUCACUGGGCGUAAGGCGUGCGUAGGCUGUUUCGUAAGUCGUGUGUGAAAGGCGCGGGCUCAACCCGCGGACGACACAUGAUACUGCGAGACUAGAGUAAUGGAGGGGGAACCGGAAUUCUCGGUGUAGCAGUGAAAUGCGUAGAUAUCGAGAGGAACACUCGUGGCGAAGGCGGGUUCCUGGACAUUAACUGACGCUGAGGCACGAAGGCCAGGGGAGCGAAAGGGAUUAGAUACCCCAGUAGUC
rnacentral:rRNA from 1 species